rnacentral:rRNA from 1 species
CCUACGGGAGGCAGCAGUGAGGAAUAUUGGUCAAUGGGCGCGAGCCUGAACCAGCCAAGUAGCGUGAAGGAUGACUGCCCUACGGGUUGUAAACUUCUUUUAUAAAGGAAUAAAGUGAGGCACGUGUGCCGUUGUGUAUGUACGGUAUGAAUAAGGAUCGGCUAACUCCGUGCCAGCAGCCGCGGUAAUACGGAGGAUCCGAGCGUUAUCCGGAUUUAUUGGGUUUAAAGGGAGCGUAGAUGGGUUGUUAAGUCAGUUGUGAAAGUUUGCGGCUCAACCGUAAAAUUGCAAUUGAUACUGGCAGCCUUUAGUACAGUUGCGUUAGGCGUAAUUCGUGGUGUAGCGG